rnacentral:rRNA from 1 species
CCUGUGCUUUUUUGAACCGUAGGGAGGUUCAGGAACAAGAGCUGGGCAAGACCGGUGCCAGCCCGCCGCGGUAAUACCGGCAGCUCGAGUGAUGGCCGAUCUUAUUGGGCCUAAAGCGUCCGUAGCUGGCCUUGCAAGUCCGUCGGGAAAUCCACCCGCUCAACGGGUGGGCGUCCGGCGGAAACUGUGAGGCUUGGGACCGGGAGGCUUGAAGGGUACGUCCGGGGUAGGAGUGAAAUCCUGUAAUCCUGGACGGACCGCCGAUGGGGAAACCACUUCAAGAGAACGGAUCCGACAGUGAGGGACGAAAGCUAGGGUCUCGAACCGGAUUAGAUACCCGGGUAGUCCUAGCUGUAAACGAUGCCUGUUAGGUGUGACUCCCACUACGAGUGGGUGUUGUGCCGUAGGGAAGCCGCUAAACAGGCCGCCUGGGAAGUACGUCUGCAAGGAUGAAACUUAAAGGAAUUGGCGGGGGAGCACUACAACCGGAGGAGCCUGCGGUUUAAUUGGACUCAACGCCGGACAUCUCACCAGCAUCGACUGUGGUAAUGACGGUCAGGUUGAUGACCUUACCCGGGCCACAGAGAGGAGGUGCAUGGCCGCCGUCAGCUCGUACCGUGAGGCGUCCUGUUAAGUCAGGCAACGAGCGAGACCCGCAUCCUUACUUGCCAGCAGCACCGCGAGGUGGCUGGGGACAGUAGGGAGACCGCCGUGGCUAACACGGAGGAAGGAACGGGCAACGGUAGGUCAGUAUGCCCCGAAUAUGCUGGGCAACACGCGGGCUACAAUGGUCGAGACAAUGGGUUCCAACGCCGAGAGGCGACGGUAAUCUCAGAAACUCGGUCGUAG